GUAAUUGCCGUAGAGGGCAGGAGGGAUGCAGCUGGCCACAACUUUCCCAAAACAAUGAAAGCUUUGGGACCGAGAGAUGGAUGUUGUGUUGCUUUUCAAAGGCUUCUUUGAUGGUCUUUUCAGCAAACAAGAAGAUGCUGAGAGGCAAGUGAUUUCUAGUGCUUCCUUAAUGACUGUGUUUAAUUUUCUUGUGCAUGAAGUUCUCUGAAACAUCUCCAGCUUUGCCUUCCAAAGAUUCACAAGAGAUUGAGGCAGAGUGGCAGUGAAAAAUGUUGAUGUAUCAAUAGCCUGGGACCCCACUUGCUCCACUGCCCUGAGAGAUUGCAACAGGAUGCUCCCCUGCUCUUAGUCCAGGACUGGUUUCAAGUCUCCAGAUGCUGCAGAACCGAUCCGUGUGAGCGCUCCGAGGCCGCUCGUGGCGUUUCUUCCGUGGAAGUUCUCCUCCGAGUGCCGGCCGCCAGCAGACAGCUCCGAGCCGCGGCUCCUCGCGCCGUGCCGGGCUUCCCGUGCUCUGCACUGCUCCGUGCCGUGUAAAAGGUGGCCGAGGACGCCUGCGGCGACGGGCGGGUCUCGCUCCGCAGCCAGACGGGCAGCUCCCCGGGCCGGAGCGGCGCUGAGGCUCUGCCCCGCGGGG
rnacentral:lncRNA from 1 species